CAGCAGCCACGGUAAUACGUAGGGUGCGAGCGUUAAUCGGAAUUACUGGGCGUAAAGCGUGCGCAGGCGGUUGUGCAAGACAGAUGUGAAAUCCCCGAGCUUAACUUGGGAACUGCAUUUGUGACUGCACGGCUAGAGUGUGUCAGAGGGGGGUAGAAUUCCACGUGUAGCAGUGAAAUGCGUAGAUAUGUGGAGGAAUACCGAUGGCGAAGGCAGCCCCCUGGGAUAACACUGACGCUCAUGCACGAAAGCGUGGGGAGCAAACAGGAUUAGAUACCCGUGUAGUCCCUGUCUCUUAUAC
rnacentral:rRNA from 1 species